CUUUUCCUUCAUAUAUCUCACCGUUUCUCAAGUCUCUCUCUAUCUCUCUGUUUCUACUUCUCUCUCUGAAACGAAACAGAGAGAAGAUCUCUCAUGGAUGAAAAAGUGAGACAUGAGUUUCUUCAAGGCAAUAUCAAAAACAUAACCAUCGUGAUGUAUAGAGACUGUCGGGUCCAUUGUGAGGAGACAUUCAGUUUCUCUUUAAAACUCCAUUGAAAUAGUCCGGUGUUAUCCCUACCUGAGCUUAGUUUUUUUGUUUUUGUUUUAUUUUUUUUUUUUUUGGUAACUCCGGUAUCUGGGCAGCCACAUUCUCAACUAUCCCCGUAGGGAGUCCAGCGCCCCAACGAAAGAGAUGUUAAAUCCGUUGUGGCCAAGGCUCGAACCCGGGUGGCGGGCAGUACAGCUGUACCUCCUUUACCACCAAGCCACGAGCGUUUGGUUUUUGUUUUAAUUUUUUUUCUGUUCUAUUGAAUUAUUCUAUUUUCUUGACCUUGCAAGACCUUUUCUUGACCUUGUAAGACCCCAUCCCUUUCUAAGUAUCUCAACCUUAUAUCCUUUUAAAGACUCUCUACUAUCUCUUUUUGGUGUUGAGUAUGUGUGUAUCUCUACUCCUAGUUCAUUUGAAUCAGUUUUUCUACCUUGUCUAUCCCUCCUGAGCUAAUGUUUGCAUCUUCUUGUUGGUCAUUGAUGAGGUGAAAAAUGUCUCGCUAUCAUGGGAACUGGUAAAGGGCAAUGAAUAAGGAACCGGGCAAAAAGAAUUAUGCCUUUACUCUCUAUUUUUAAGGCUUUGGACAGGAAUUUACUUUUGUUUUAUAUGUUGUGUUUGUUUGGGUCUGACUGACCCCCCAAAGGCCGAAGCCAAACCAAAGAACUCAUCUUAUUAAAUAUUCCCUCAGAAUCAUUUAUUGCCUGUUUCUCUCUCACUCGUGACUAUG